AGUGAACGCUGGCGGUAGGCCUAACACAUGCAAGUCGAACGGCAGCACAUUAAGAGCUUGCUCUUACGGGUGGCGAGUGGCGGACGGGUGCGGAAUACAUCGGAAUCUACAUUUUCGUGGGGGAUAACGUAGGGAAACUUACGCUAAUACAGCAUACGACCUACGGGUGAAAGCAGGUGCUCUUCGGACCUUGCGCGAUUGAAUGAGCCGAUGUCGGAUUAGUUAGUUGGCGGGGUAAAGGCCAACCAAGGCGACGAUCCGUAGCUGGUCAGAGAGGAUGAUAAGCCACAGUGGGAGUGAGACACGGGCCAGACUCCGACGGGGAGAAGCAGUGGAGAAUAUUGGAAGACGGGCGUAAGCAUGAUCCAGCAAUGCCGGAUAGGUGAAGAAAGCCUUGGGGUUGUGAAGCACAUGUGUUGGGAGAGAAAAGCAGCAGGUUACGGACAAGCUGUAAUGACGGUACCUAAAGAAUAAGCACCGGCUAACUCCGUG
rnacentral:rRNA from 1 species